rfam:Gossypium arboreum cultivar AKA8401 contig_22338_1, whole genome shotgun sequence.
AAUAGUUUUAUGCCACAUCAGUAUUCUUAUCCUGAAUUUCAGGAUUUUAUCUUGAAAAAAUAAAAUUCAAAUUAAAAUCCUGAAAUUCAGGAUAAGAAUACUGAUGUGGCAUAAAACUAUU